CCUACGGGAGGCAGCAGUGAGGAAUAUUGGUCAAUGGACGAGAGUCUGAACCAGCCAAGUAGCGUGAAGGAUGACUGCCCUAUGGGUUGUAAACUUCUUUUAUAUGGGAAUAAAAUGUUCCACGUGUGGGAUUCUGUAUGUACCAUAUGAAUAAGGAUCGGCUAACUCCGUGCCAGCAGCCGCGGUAAUACGGAGGAUCCGAGCGUUAUCCGGAUUUAUUGGGUUUAAAGGGAGCGUAGGUGGAUUGUUAAGUGAGUUGUGAAAGUUUGCGGCUCAACCGUAAAAUUGCCGUUGAAACUGUCCGUCUUGAGAACAGUAGAGGUAGGCGGAAUGCGUGGUGUAGCGGUGAAAUGCUUAGAUAUCACGAAGAACUCCGAUUGCGAAGGCAGCUCACUGGACUGCAACUGACACUGAGGCUCGAAAGUGUGGGUAUCAAACAGGAUUAGAUACCCGUGUAGUC
rnacentral:rRNA from 1 species